rnacentral:lncRNA from 1 species
UGUAUCUAUAGUUUGCUACAGAAAAUUGCCACCUUGGGAUGCAUGAAGUUCAAAAUUUUGAAUUGAAUUUCCCCGAAAAUGUUUAGAUGUGAAUCUAAUAAAAUAUGUCCAGCAAGAAAGUAGAAUAAAUCCAAAAAAAAUUUCACAGAAGCAUGCUCCUCAUCUAUUUCGAAAUUGAAUACAAACUUUUAUGUUUCAUGCCAUUUCAUCAUCUACUAGAGUCUCUCACCUGAGUUGGGGACCAAAGCAGUCACUGCUCACUAUACUUUCGCAUCUUAUCUGGGCAAUCGCAGGUCAAAGUCUGGUGCACAAAGCAGGAAAGCAGUGUUGUUAACAUUGAUAUGAAGGCAAACAUAUGCUGUGUCAAGUAUAAUCCUGGGUCUAGCAUUCAUGUUGCGGUAAUCUAUUACAUGAACUCCCAUUUUCUCAUUGCUUGUUGUUUACUAGUAGAACCAUUUACCGGAAGUUGUCGAAUUUUCUUUUUGUUGGUUGAGAGAGAGAGGAGGAAACGGUGCCGCUGGGUGUGAGGGAAAUGCUUUCUGAGCUUGUAUUGUCCAAAUUGUUUGGACUUUUUAACUCAAUUCUUGUGGGGCCCAUCUACUGCAUAAACACGGAAACAUCACAAAUAUGUCAUUUAUUACCAACAAGUUUGAGCAAGAGUUUUAUAUCGUGUACUGUUAGUUAUACAACGGCCCUUUCAAUCUUCGCUUCUUGGUUUGUUUAUUCCUGGGAAGUUAGAUUUGAUUUCACCAUUUUUAGUUUUACUUAUAGAGUUUACGCCUCUCUUUUCCAGUUAAUGAAAAUUCUUAUUUUCCCAAACCCUUCUCUUAAAGCUAUAGAUAUAAGAGACAACAUAGGAUGGAAUGAUGAUGAUGAAUCAGAACAAAUUUAAGCAAGUGUUGUGCAUUUUAGGAACAAAUGCUAAGUGCCCUUCGCAAACUCUCAAUCAGCGGACAUGCAAACUUCCACCUAUAUUGCUUACUCUAAUUACAUUGGUGUUUAUGAAAAAUCUUAGUGGAUGGAUUCUUACAUGGGCAUUUGGAUUACUGGCAUUCAUGGCGGUGCAGAUUUGGGAUUUGAAUAUCAGUUAAUUAAAACCUAGACUUCCCCAUAUAUGGAAGCAGGUUGUUUUUAUCUUCAUAAUCUGUUAUCUUAAGCCCUGGGCCCACUUUACAAAAGGAUGACAUAAAUGCAUUAUGUAGGG